rnacentral:rRNA from 1 species
GAUCAUGGCUCAGGAUGAACGCUAGCUACAGGCUUAACACAUGCAAGUCGAGGGGCAGCAUGAACUUAGCUUGCUAAGUUUGAUGGCGACCGGCGCACGGGUGAGUAACACGUAUCCAACCUUCCGUUUACUCAGGGAUAGCCUUUCGAAAGAAAGAUUAAUACCUGAUAGUAUGGUGAGAUUGCAUGAUAGCACCAUUAAAAGAUUUUAUUGGUAAAACGAUGGGGAUGCGUUCCAUUAGGUAGUAGGCGGGGGUAACGGCCCACCUAGCCGACGAUGGAUAGGGGGUUCUGAGAGGAAGGUCCCCCACAUUGGAACUGAGACACGGUCCAAACUCCUACGGGAGGCAGCAGUGAGGAAUAUUGGUCAAUGGGCGAGAGCCUGAACCAGCCAAGUAGCGUGAAGGAUGAAGGUCCUACGGAUUGUAAACUUCUUUUAUACGGGAAUAAAGUAUCCUACGUGUAGGAUUUUGUAUGUACCGUAUGAAUAAGCAUCGGCUAACUCCGUG